CCCGUUGGUCAAGUGGUUAAGACACCGCCCUUUCACGGCGGUAACAUGAGUUCAAAUCUCGUACGGGUCAUUACCA
rnacentral:tRNA from 1 species